rnacentral:lncRNA from 1 species
CCACCCCUGGGGAGCAAAGACAAGCACAGAACUGGCUGGGAGGAUGGAGGAGACGCCGCCGUUACAGCAGUCAGGGGGCAAGAGGACGCAUCCAGGGAGGCCAGGCUGGAAAGGCACCGGCAAAGGAGCAGCCCAACCCCAGGCAGAGGUGGAGAUGCUGUUGUUAGAAGCCAGAGAAAGAGCCCAGUGCGAAGGCCCACAGGACACGGAUGGGGCAAAGGCUUCUACUAGGCCCACCGAAGCUGGCUGAGCAGCUCCCAGGCGAGCGGAGUCCGUGCACCGGUGUCCAGCCUGCGUAGGGCGGGAACUGCGGCCAGCGCAGUUGGCUUGUCCUGAGCCGCCUGCCCUUCUUCUCGGGCACUUUCAGCUGCAAGGUGCUGAGCUCUCUGGAUUCUCUCCAGGAUAGAAUUUCAGGGAAGAAAAGGAUUGUGAAUCUUCUUUUUGAUCAAGAAAUUCUGAGAAACUGGUCUCAAUUCCCUGGAAGCUUAUAGGAAAUAAAACCCACUUGGCAAAACCCAAAAGAGAACGAAAAUGUCACUUUAAUGAAAUGUUUUGCAACAUCCUGGGUGGUUUGUGUGCUUUAGAGUUCAUGC